GAUGAACGCUGGCGGCGUGCCUAAUACAUGCAAGUCGAGCGAACAGACGAGGAGCUUGCUCCUUUGACGUUAGCGGCGGACGGGUGAGUAACACGUAGGUAACCUACCUAUAAGACUGGGAUAACUUCGGGAAACCGGAGCUAAUACCGGAUAAUAUUUCGAACCGCAUGGUUCGAUAGUGAAAGAUGGCUUUGCUAUCACUUAUAGAUGGACCUGCGCCGUAUUAGCUAGUUGGUAAGGUAACGGCUUACCGAGGCAACGAUACGUAGCCGACCUGAGAGGGUGAUCGGCCACACUGGAACUGAGACACGGUCCAGACUCCUACGGGAGGCAGCAGUAGGGAAUCUUCCGCAAUGGGCGAAAGCCUGACGGAGCAACGCCGCGUGAGUGAUGAAGGUCUUCGGAUCGUAAAACUCUGUUAUUAGGGAAGAACAAACGUGUAAGUAACUGUGCACGUCUUGACGGUACCUAAUCAGAAAGCCACGGCUAACUACGUG
rnacentral:rRNA from 1 species